UACGUAGGGUGCGAGCGUUAAUCGGAAUUACUGGGCGUAAAGCGUGCGCAGGCGGUUUUGUAAGCCAGAUGUGAAAGCCCCGGGCUUAACCUGGGAAUGGCAUUUGGGACUGCAAGGCUGGAGUGCGGCAGAGGAGACUGGAAUUCCUGGUGUAGCAGUGAAAUGCGUAGAUAUCAGGAGGAAUACCGAUGGCGAAGGCAGGUCUCUGGGCUGACACUGACGCUCAUGCACGAAAGCGUGGGGAGCGAACAGG
rnacentral:rRNA from 1 species